GACGAACGCUGGCGGCGUGCCUAAUACAUGCAAGUCGAACGCAGUGGGGACGGGUGAGUAACACGUGGGUAACCUCCCAUCAGAGGGGAUAACACUUGGAAACAGGUGCUAAACCGAUACUGAUGGAUGGACCCGCGGGGCAUUAGCUAGUUGGUGGGGUAACGGCCCACCAAGGCCACGAUGCAUAGCCGACCUGAGAGGAUGAUCGGCCACACUGGGACUGAGACACGGCCCAGACUCCUACGGGAGGCAGCAGUGGGGAAUCUUCGACAAUGGGCGAAAGCCUGACCGAGCAACGCCGCGUGAGUGAAGAAGGUUUUCGGGUCGUAAAACUCUGUUGUUAGAGAAGCGGUAUCUAAAGAGAAAGCCACGGCUAACUACGUGCCAGCAGCCGCGGUAAUUC
rnacentral:rRNA from 1 species